UACUAACUCAGUGAGACUCUGCUCGAGUCUCACCACAGUCCUAAGAGAUAAGGAUUUCGGUUGAGAAACUGGACUGGUCAAACUGGAGAGAUUCUCAAAUAAGUAAACAGGUGCUGGUCAAAGAAAAAUAAAACAAAACCCGUCCAUCCUGAUUUGAGAGGUGACACAAUCUCUCUCUGUGUACCCACAAUAGGGCAGCAGAAACUUGAGAAACGCAUUACAGCCUGGAAGACCUGAGCCUCUUAGACUGUGAGAGUCCGGGAGAGGAGGCACG